AGCGAACGCUGGCGGCAUGCCUUACACAUGCAAGUCGAACGGCAGCGCGGGAGCAAUCCUGGCGGCGAGUGACGAACGGGUGAGUAAUAUAUCGGAACGUGCCCAGUAGUGGGGGAUAGCCCGGCGAAAGCCGGAUUAAUACCGCAUACGACCUACGGGUGAAAGGGGGGGAUCGCAAGACCUCUCGCUAUUGGAGCGGCCGAUAUCAGAUUAGGUAGUUGGUGGGGUAAAGGCCUACCAAGCCUGCGAUCUGUAGUUGGUCUGAGAGGACGACCAGCCACAAUGGGACUGAGACACGGCCCAGACUCCUACGGGAGGCAGCAGUGGGGAAUUUUGGACAAUGGGCGCAAGCCUGAUCCAGCAAUGCCGCGUGCAGGAAGAAGGCCUUCGGGUUGUAAACUGCUUUUGUCAGGGAAGAAAUCCUCUAGGCUAAUACCUUGGGGGGAUGACGGUACCUGAAGAAUAAGCACCGGCUAACUACGUGCCAGCCGCCGCUGUAACAC
rnacentral:rRNA from 1 species